rnacentral:lncRNA from 1 species
GAAUUUGUUGAAAACUCUGUGUCUCAAAGAGUCUAUCUGUACAGGGAUCGUUUGCAUAUGGAGGAACCACGCAAAGAGGUCAUUCUAAGCGGCAGCGUGGAAAUGGACCUUAUUAAAAAGCAGGUUUAGUUGAUUAGACAGUUUUAUCGAUACAUUAGCAUAGGGUUUUUUUUUUCACAGAAGCAACAGCAAGAAUCUUCCCUUUUGUUUUGGGCAGAUACCCCAAGAAGGUAAAGUAACAUAUAGGUGUUGUAUGUAUGCUGUAGCCGGUAGGAAAUCAAAAUGGGGUUUGCUACGUCAAAGGGAAGGUGGAUGAAUGCUGUAUUUUUUGUUGUUAUGAUACCAAAAUCUGAAUGUCUCGAGGCCCUCUCGACUAUAGUCCGAGCAUUUUGACAGUUUAUAAAUAGAACAAAGAAAUGCAUGUUUUAAAGUGAAGUUUGGCACAAUAUGCCUUUCCCAUCUCUUACAUUGUUUGAGAUUUUAGAAGAGAUUCUUCAUGUAUAAACCUUAGACCAUGUAAGUGCUCUUGAACUAUUACUUCAUAACUGAUGAAAUGAUCAACUACUUAGAGCUCUGUGUCUCAAAGAGUCUAUCCGUACAGGGAUCAUUUGCAUAUGGAGGAACCACGCAAAGAGGUCAUUCUAAGCGGCAGCGUGGAAAUGGACCUUAUUAAAAAGCAGGUUUAGUUGAUUAGACAGUUUUAUCCAUACAUUAGCAUAGGGUUUUUUUUUCACAGAAGCAACACAGCAAGAAUCUUCCCUUUUGUUUUGGGCAGAUACCCCAAGAAGGUAAAGUAACAUAUAGGUGUUGUAUGUAUGCUGUAGCCUGUAGGAAAUCAAAAUGGGGUUUGCUACGUCAAAGGGAAGGUGGAUGAAUGCUGCAUUUUUUGUUGUUAUGAUACCAAAAUCUGAAUGUCUCGAGGCCCUCUCGACUAUAGUCCGAGCAUUUUGACAGUUUAUAAAUAGAACAAAGAAAUGCAUGUUUUAAAGUGAAGUUUGGCACAAUAUGCCUUUCCCAUCUCUUACAUUGUUUGAGAUUUUAGAAGAGAUUCUUCAUGUAUAAACCUUAGACCAUGUAAGUGCUCUUGAACUAUUACUUCAUAACUGAUGAAAUGAUCAACUACUUAGAAGCUGAAAGCAGAUUGACGAGUUAAAAGUUUU